CGUUGUUUUCGGGGUCGAUGUAAUUUCGAACCGGCGGUUAAAGUCCGCGACCCGAUACCGCACCAGGUAUCGGUUGACUCAGUGAAACUCUGAGACCGACGGUUAAAGUCCGGAUGAGAGAAAACCAAC
rnacentral:ncRNA from 2 species